rnacentral:rRNA from 1 species
CUUUAGUGGCGCAGCUAACGCGAUAAGUUGACCGCCUGGGGAGUACGGUCGCAAGACUAAAACUCAAAUGAAUUGACGGGGGCCCGCACAAGCGGUGGAGCAUGUGGUUUAAUUCGAUGCAACGCGAAGAACCUUACCUGGUCUUGACAUAGUGAGAAUCCUGCAGAGAUGCGGGAGUGCCUUCGGGAAUUCACAUACAGGUGCUGCAUGGCUGUCGUCAGCUCGUGUCGUGAGAUGUUGGGUUAAGUCCCGCAACGAGCGCAACCCUUUUCCUUAUUUGCCAGCACUUCGGGUGGGAACUCUAAGGAUACUGCCAGUGACAAACUGGAGGAAGGCGGGGACGACGUC